rnacentral:rRNA from 1 species
UGGGGAAUAUUGCACAAUGGGCGAAAGCCUGAUGCAGCGACGCCGCGUGAGGGAUGACGGCCUUCGGGUUGUAAACCUCUUUCAGUAGGGACGAAGCGCAAGUGACGGUACCUGCAGAAGAAGCACCGGCUAACUACGUGCCAGCAGCCGCGGUAAUACGUAGGGUGCGAGCGUUGUCCGGAAUUACUGGGCGUAAAGAGCUCGUAGGCGGUUUGUCACGUCGUCUGUUAAAUCCUAGGGCUUCACCCUGGACGUGCAGGCGAUACGGGCUGACUUGAGUACUACAGGGGAGACUGGAAUUUCUGGUGUAGCGGUGGAAUGCACAGAUAUCAGGAAGAGCACCGAUGGCGAAGGCAGGUCUCUGGGUAGUAACUGACGCUGAGGAGCGAAAGCAUGGGUAGCGAACAGG